GAUGAACGCUAGCGGGAGGCCUAAUACAUGCAAGUCGAGCGGUAGAGUGACUUCGGUUGCUUGAGAGCGGCGAACGGGUGAGUAACGCGUACACAAUCUACCUUUAAGAGGGGAAUAGCCCUGGGAAACUGGGAUUAAUGCCCCAUGGCAUCACGAAGUGGCAUCGCUUUGUGAUUAAAGCUGAGGUGCUUAGAGAUGAGUGUGCGUCUGAUUAGCUAGUCGGUGCGGUAACGGCGCACCAAGGCGACGAUCAGUAGGGGGCGUGAGAGCGUGGACCCCCACACGGGUACUGAGACACGGACCCGACUCCUACGGGAGGCAGCAGUAAGGAAUAUUGGUCAAUGGAGGAAACUCUGAACCAGCCAUCCCGCGUGCAGGAAGAAUGCCCUAUGGGUUGUAAACUGCUUUUAUCUGGGAAGAAAAGUCGGCAUUUAUGCUGAUCUGACGGUACCAGAGGAAUAAGCACCGGCUAACUCCGUGCCAGCA
rnacentral:rRNA from 1 species